GCUACUAUAGGAAGGAAAACCUGCUGGAGCAUGAAGCCAGGAAUUGUCUUAGCAGAACAGAAGUGGUGUUUUCGUGUUCAAAAUGCACCAUGACCUU